UUCUUUCUAUAUUGCUGCUGCUUCUUCUUCCCCACUCUUCUUCUCCCCUAUAUAAAAAGAAAAAGAACCUAUCCCUGAAGUUCCUUAACCAUCUCUGCUUACCCAUGGUAUCAUGAACAAGUCAAAAAUAUACUAAAAAUGGUAGCGCGUAUCAAAAUACUAAAGAGGCAGCGUGUACUAAUUUUCGAGCGGGACGAAAAUUGGUCCACUGAACUUCUUCUCUGCCAUCUAACGCCUUUGGCCAUGGAAAUGGACCACCGAACUUCUUCCCCUACUUUUUUAUCUGAAAAAAUAAUAAUUUUACCUCAGUUUUUUUUCUUUAUUCAUUUUAAUUUUAUUUCUAUAAUAUAAAAAGGGAAGAAUUGAAAGGGGAGAGGAGGCAACAAGAGAGAAUGAGAUAGGCAGGAGAAGAACACGAGGGGAAAGAGAGAAAUCAAUAAGGGAGGGGUUAGGGGAUUGAUGUUUGAAAUUUGUAAUCUACCAUGUGACAUGGCAUCUACACAUUGUUAUUUUUUUG
rnacentral:lncRNA from 1 species